CGGCGGCGGAGGUUGCAGUGGGCCGAGAUCACGCCAUUUUCUGGGCGAGAGAGCGAGACUCCGUCUCAAAAACAAACAAAAAACCAUGAAAGAAAUAAGCUCAGUGAAGGCGGGCAUUCUGCCUGGCUAACGCAGGUCGCUCCUUGCCGUGCCUGGAACAUUACUUAAGUGCUCAGCAAACUACUUUAAGGGUGUUGAAAGCAGCAGUGGCCUAGAAGACAUUAAACCAAUACCACAGAAAUACCAAGGAUCAUUAGAGACUAUUAUGAACAACUAUAUGCCAACAAAUUGGAAACCAAAUGGAAAUGGAUAAAUUCCUGAACAGAUACAACUUACCAAAAUUGGACCAAGAAGAAAUAGAAAACCUGAAAAGACCAACUAUGAGUAAUGAGAUUAAAUCAGUAAUACAGAGUCUCCCAUCAAAGAAAAGUCCAGGCCCUGAUGGCUUCACUGCUGAAUUCUACUGAACAGUUAAAGAAGAACUCAUACCAGUUCUCAAACUCAUCCUGUGAGGGCAGCAUUACCCUGAUACCAAAACUAGAUAUGGACACAAGAAAAAAAAUCUAUAGGCCAGUAUCCCUGAUGAACAUAGAUGCAAGAAUCCUCAACAAGACCAGGUGUGGUGGUUCAUGCCUGUAAUCCCAGCACUUUGGGAGGCCAAGGCAGGUGGAUCACCUGAGGUCAGGAAUUUGAGACCAGCCUGGCCAACAUGGCAAAACGCUGUCUGUACUAAAAAUACAAAAAUUAGCCGGGCAAGGUGGCGUGUGCCUGUAAUCCUAGCUACUUGGGAGGCUGAGGCAGGAGAAUUGCUUGAACCUGGAGGGAGGAGGGGCAGAAGUUGCAGCGAGCUCAGAUCGUCCCACUGCACUCCAGCCUGGGUGACAGAGUGAGACUCCAUCUCAAAAUAAGUAAAUAAAUAAAGAGACUCAACUAGCAUAAAUGAAUUGCAAGUGUUUUAUAGUAUAUAAUGAGCACAACAAAAGUAUCAAUAUAUUACAUGGAAAUACAUUUUUCAAAGCUGGAUCUUUAGCUUCCAAGGAUUAAGGAGAAUUUUGUUACUGAGUUGGUUCUUAA
rnacentral:lncRNA from 1 species